UGGGGAAUAUUGGACAAUGGGCGAAAGCCUGAUCCAGCCAGGCCGCGUGAGUGAUGAAGGCCCUAGGGUUGUAAAGCUCUUUUGUGCGGGAAGAUAAUGACGGUACCGCAAGAAUAAGCCCCGGCUAACUUCGUGCCAGCAGCCGCGGUAAUACGAAGGGGACUAGCGUUGCUCGGAAUCACUGGGCGUAAAGGGUGCGUAGGCGGGUUUCUAAGUCAGAGGUGAAAGCCUGGAGCUCAACUCCAGAACUGCCUUUGAUACUGGAAGUCUUGAGUUCGGGAGAGGUGAGUGGACCUGCGAGUGUAGAGGUGACGUUCGCAGAUAUUCGCAAGCACACCAGUGGCGAAGGCGGCUCACUGGCCCGAUCCUGACGCUGCGGCACGAAAGCGUGGGGAGC
rnacentral:rRNA from 1 species